UACGAAGGGGGCUAGCGUUGUUCGGAAUUACUGGGCGUAAAGCGCGCGUAGGCGGUUUUGCAAGCCAGAGGUGAAAUGCCUGAGCUCAACUUAGGAAUUGCCUUUGGGACUGCGAGGCCUUUGAGGACUGGAGAGGUGAGUGGAAUUCCCAGUGUAGAGGUGAAAUUCGUAGAUAUUCGGAAGAACACCAGUGGCGAAAGGCGGCUCACUGGACUGGUAUUGACGCUGAGGUGCGAAAGCGUGGGGAGCAAACAGG
rnacentral:rRNA from 1 species